CGUCCCGAGCCUGCGCUCUGCAGGACUUAAGGGGGCGUUGCACCACAACCCUUCCUGGUUGCACUGAAUUCGCAGUCCCGCAUUGCGCCGCCGACCUUCGAGCUGGCUGCCACGGUUUCACAACUGGUCCUCACAUACGCAGACUCCUUGGUAACUUAGAAGAUACCAGAGCGUUUCCUCGCUUCGCCGCCGCUGCUGCGGGUUGGGCGGAGCGAGGCGAGCUGGUCCUUCCGGUCUCCAACCGAUAGUUACUUCGGGCGGCCUUCAAAUUAAAUACACGUGAUGAUGCAGCCUUCUUUGGGACCCUGUUUCACCAUCUCCAGCUAAUCGGCUAAACCCACUCGUCGUGUCCGAAUCAGCUUUCACAGAUUAUUUAUUUGAAAAAAUAAGUAAUCUGUGAAAGCUGAUUUCUGUGCUAAAGAGACUUUGGUGACAAUAUGUCGUCGAGUUUAGUGUCCGUGUGUCAGUUACAAUUAAAUCAGGCUAAUAGACCAAAUGUUUGCGUUGUUGCGCUACUUUGGAAUAUAGCCUCCCAUUGCUUACCGAUAAUUACCGGUAUUGUACGUACUGCUGGGGUAUUUGUUCGCAGGUGUUUUUCCUCGGAAAUAUUCCGUGGAAAAACUCCUAACGCGUAAACCUCACUUGGCCUAUGAAAUCGUUCUUUGAACGUUUUGAGCAAAUACCUGUACGGAUUUGCUGUUCAUCUUUCUAAAAGCCCGCAAUCGUAUUCAUAAUACGGAAUAGGUACAUGGGUAACGACGAAAAUGAUCACCAUAACAGACUAGUGAUCUACUGCAUUAACACCGUAUGCAAUAUCUUAUCUGUUGAAGAAGUUGAAAAUGUUUUAUGUUAAAGCAUUUUCCACUUUAAAAAUGGAUGAGCACAAGGCUAUGAACAUUGUUACCGGUUAUGACAGCAGUAGGUUCUAUGUGAAUAGAUAACUGCUGGGGCGCGUUUCCAGGGGGAGGAUAUCAUCCCCUCCCUCCAUAACAAACAUCAUUUGUCUGUCAUGGAGCUCAUGGUCGUGUUCACUACUAUGAGGCUUGGAUUCGCGCCUUCAUUAGCUUUUAGGUAAAAAGGUACUUUUUUAAAUUAUAUCAAAGGCAUCUCUGGUGUAUUUAAUGGCAAGAUAAAUAGGUGUAAGACUAUAUAAUAAACUUAAUUGUAAGACCAAA
rnacentral:lncRNA from 1 species